AUAACUAUCAUUUAUAAUAUUAUUUAAAUCUUCCAUGCAAUUUUUUCCUUAUUACUGUUUUCCUUAUUACAUCUAAUACCCGUUUUAUACAUGUGAAUAUAAUAUUUGGUCAGAAUUUUUGAAAAUGACCAAAUUGCCCUAAUUAGAUUUUUAAUGUGAACUAAUAUGAACUUGUUUUUUGGUAGUGACCUUUUUGUUGUAAUGCAGAUUGAU
rnacentral:lncRNA from 1 species